GACGUAGGGCGCGAGCGUUGUCCGGAUUUAUUGGGCGUAAAGAGCUCGUAGGCGGCUUGUUGCGUCAGCUGUGAAAACCCGCAGCUCAACUGUGGGCUUGCAGCUGAUACGGGCAGGCUUGAGUUCGGUAGGGGAGACUGGAAUUCCUGGUGUAGCGGUGAAAUGCGCAGAUAUCAGGAGGAACACCGGUGGCGAAGGCGGGUCUCUGGGCCGAUAUUGACGCUGGAGGAGCGAAAGCGUGGGGAGCGAACAGG
rnacentral:rRNA from 1 species